rnacentral:SRP_RNA from 2 species
GCCGAGCUCAGUUGCGUGGGCUUGUAACCCAAGUGGGGGCAUCAAGGUGGUGUGGAUGUUUGGUGCGGAAUCUGGGCCUGGGCUCUUGAUGUGCCUUGGCUGGCCUGCCCGUUCCAAGUUGGUUGUGGCCAGCGGAGACUUGGGCGGAAGCUCUUGGCCUCCCUGGACCUAAAGUGGCAGGAACGGCGUGAGGCUGGUUUCACAGAGCAGCGAUCACUGUCCGCUUCCAACGGUGGAAGGAUAACAGGCCGCUGCAUCAUGGGUCCCGCUUCAGGCCCAGACUCCUACUAUAACAGACCACCAUCUUU